AGGGAUUCAGUUUCAUUUUGUUGCAUAUGGAUUUCCAGUUUUCCCAGCACCAUUUGUUGAAGAUGCUAUCCUUCCUCCAUUGCAUGCUUUUAGCCCCUUUAUCAAAUAUAAGAUAGUUGUAAUUUUGUGGAUUGGUCUCUGUGUCCUCUAUUCUGUACCAUUGGUCCACCCUACAAGGCGUCUUUUUAGAAGAGACAUGGAGACUCCAUGAGAUUAGCCGAGCUGCUAGAGAGCAGCUGAGCCAAGACUCAAGGUCUCCACUAACCUCGUCCCAACUCGAACCUCUCCACAGCUGCCAUCCUUGGGUGUGUGACAGAGGCCUGCACUGACAAACCUGGUACCUUGGCCAGGGGUCCCCAAAGUGUGCUGUUCCUUGAUCCUAUUGCAAGGGACCGAGACCCUCCAUGUGCACCAAGCCUCGCCUAAAGUGAAUGCAGUUGCCUAAAGUCAGGGAGUUUUGUGGGUGACCCUCUUCAAUGCGUCCAGUUGAUCUGAUGAUAACGAUAAGCAACUUUAUUUAGGAGGGUCACAGUUUCAUUAUUUCCUCUCUUUUCUUCAAAGACAGUUAUUUCAAGAGGAUACUGAAACAUUUGUUGACAUUAAAAAGGAAAUCUGUUUGAAAGUAUUGGGAACGCUGCUCGGAACCUGCCUUCCCCAGAACUGACACAGCAAGUGAAGACCAAAGAACUGAAAUGAUGACAAGAAAAAAAAAUCAUAGACUCAUGAAAUAUCUUCUGCUUUCCUCUCAAAAUUCAUGGCUUUGCUUAUGACAUCCCUGCGGUGGUUGAAGGCAUUGGAGUCUUCAAGUGUCCUAUUCUCAUCACACUUUCUUUACAAUCGAUACAUCAAGAUUCGCAUCUUGGGGCCAGGGUUUUGGCUCAGUGCUGAGGGCCAUUGCUAAGUAAGAAUGAUGCAUGGCAUGACCCAGGUCAUUUGCAGUGUCAUUGCAUGUAAGGUGACCUUGCUCAAGGACCAGGGCGGAUCCGGGUUUAGGGCGUUCCCGGUUUAGGACAAUCCGGGGUUAGGGCGGUUCCAGGUUUAAGGUGUACCCUGCUGGGAAUAGGGCGUAUCCUGCUGCCUCAGGUGCGCCUGCUCGUUGAGUUCCGGUUGAGUUCUCCUUGAGUUCUCCUUGAGUUCUCCUGGGAUUCAGAGAGUAUUUGGGGAUUUUGCCCAGAACGUGAAUUUGGCGGAGAACGUGAAUUUCCCCAGUACGUGUGUAGAGUGCUGGUGUGAGUUGGGGAAUAAAGAGUUGCUGUUUGAAUCUAC
rnacentral:lncRNA from 1 species